UACGUAGGGUCCAAGCGUUGUUCGGAAUUACUGGGCGUAAAGGGCGCGUAGGCGGUUAUGUAAGUGAGAUGUGAAAUCCCUGGGCUUAACCUAGGAACUGCAUCUCAUACUGCGUAGCUAGAGUAUUGUAGAGGGUAGUGGAAUUUCCGGUGUAGCGGUGAAAUGCGUAGAGAUCGGAAGGAACACCAGUGGCGAAGGCGGCUACCUGGACAAAUACUGACGCUGAUGCGCGAAAGCGUGGGGAUCAAACAGG
rnacentral:rRNA from 1 species